AUGGCCCCUGUCUCCGCCGUUGGCAUCAAGCGCUCCGCACCGAGCGACCAUGAAAAGCAGCCUAGUGUCUGGUGCAAGGGGGCGUCAUCGCACCAGGCACACCAGAGCACUUUGAAGGGCAAGCAAGUGGCCGACCCUAAAGACUAUGGUGGCAACGAAGCUAACAAGCGGAAGCAGCGUCGGCGUCUUGCCAUCGACAUCAACGAGGUUCCCCAGAAUGAAGACGACGACCUCGACAACCUUCUUCAUGCCGGGGCCCCCACUGCAGGUGGUAUGUGCUCCCAGCCGCCGCACUGGCUGCUCUCACUCGUGAACAAGAAGCAAGCACAGGAGGACGAGAUACUGGAGCUUGCAGAGCAGCGCUUGCGCAUGGCCACAAAGGAGCUGAUGGAGGAAAUGGAGCUGAAGAAGAUGCGGCUGGAGAAUGAGAAGAUGCGGCUGGAGAACAUCCGGCUCAUGGUGCAGAUCAAGCGCAAGGAGUUCGAGCUCAGCGUUGCCAAGCCGAAAAGGAUCUAG
rnacentral:rRNA from 1 species